rnacentral:rRNA from 1 species
UACGAAGGGGGCUAGCGUUGCUCGGAAUCACUGGGCGUAAAGCGCACGUAGGCGGAUUGCUAAGUCAGGGGUGAAAUCCUGGAGCUCAACUCCAGAACUGCCCUUGAUACUGGCGGUCUCGAGUCCGGGAGAGGUGAGUGGAACUGCGAGUGUAGAGGUGAAAUUCGUAGAUAUUCGCAAGAACACCAGUGGCGAAAGGCGGCUCACUGGCCCGGUACUGACGCUGAGGUGCGAAAAGCGUGGGGGAGCAAACAGG